rnacentral:rRNA from 1 species
UACGUAGGGUGCGAGCGUUGUCCGGAAUUAUUGGGCGUAAAGCGUCCGCAGGUGGCGAUUCAAGUCUGCGGUCAAAGACUGGGGCUUAACCCUGGAAAGGCCGUGGAAACUGAAUAGCUAGAGUGCAGUAGGGGUAGAGGGAAUUCCCGGUGUAGCGGUGAAAUGCGUAGAGCUCGGGAAGAACAUCGGUGGCGAAAGCGCUCUGCUGGACUGCAACUGACACUCAGGGACGAAAGCUAGGGGAGCGAAUGGG